GACGAACGCUGGCGGCGUGCCUAAUACAUGCAAGUCGAGCGGACCAAAGGGAGCUUGCUCCUGGAGGUUAGCGGCGAACGGGUGAGUAACACGUGGGCAACCUGCCUGUAAGACUGGGAUAACAUCGAGAAAUCGGUGCUAAUACCGGAUAAUAAAAAGAACUGCAUGGUUCUUUUUUGAAAGAUGGUUUCGGCUAUCACUUACAGAUGGGCCGCGGCGCAUUAGCUAGUUGGUGAGGUAACGGCUCACCAAGGCGACGAUGCGUAGCCGACCUGAGAGGGUGAUCGGCCACACUGGGACUGAGACACGGCCCAGACUCCUACGGGAGGCAGCAGUAGGGAAUCUUCCGCAAUGGACGAAAGUCUGACGGAGCAACGCCGCGUGAGUGAUGAAGGUUUUCGGAUCGUAAAACUACUGUUGUUAGGGAAGAACAAGUAGCCGUUCGAAAGGGCGGCACCUUGACGGUACCUAACGAGAAAGCCACGGCUAACUACGUGCCAGCAGCCGCGGUAAAGUC
rnacentral:rRNA from 1 species